rnacentral:lncRNA from 1 species
UUAUUUUGGGUCUCCUCCUUUGCUUUUUUUCUCUUGCACUGCUAUACGACGGCUCUCUCAUACCAAAUGACCUCUUCCUGGGAUUGAUAUUUCAAAUCUAUAACUUGUUAAACGGAUACCAAAAAAAAAAAAAAAAAAAAAAAAGGCGGUAGUACUUAGUUAACCACACCCAAAAGUGACUGCAGAUGCUCAUCUGUUGCCUUGGUGAUGCAGAGUAUUUUGUACAACACUUGGCCUGGGGGACUGGUGAUGAGUCAUACUCAUGGCUGGGUGGGGAGAGGGCAACUGCUUUCAAUUAAAACCGCCAGCCAGACCAAAGCUGAGUUAGGAACUCCCCAGUUUCCUGCAGUAAAUCAGAGACAUCUCAGGUCUGGGGGUUUGGUUGUACAUGUGGGGUUUUUGUCAUGUGAACUUUUUCUCCUAUUUUCUUCCUUUGGCUAGAGGGAACUAUAGAUACCCUUUUGCUCUUCCACAUAUAUCAAGAAAAAACUGCAGACUUAGUUCUUAAAAUAAGGUCUGUUUUCCUGUACACUCUUGACACAACUAAACCUAAAAAAGGCUUUUAGUGAGCUGCUGCUUCUCUCAUUGUCUCUUCACAAAUACUCAUUGUCCAUAAAUGAGGCAUGCCGAAGUGUGUUAUUCAGCAUUUUCUUUUUAGUAGGAGACAAGCACACAGCAGGACAUUUUUUCAGAAUUGUUUGAACAACUACAGGCAUCGUAAUUUCAGGAUGGAAAAUCUGUACCAGAUAUGACUCCUCUGGAAUUUACUAGCUGGCUGAAAUUGGCAUCAGGCAAGCUGAGAAGCAGAGUUUCAUGCUAUCCUCUGAUAAGGAUGUACCAUGGGUCUCAAGUGGUUAGUUUGGAUAAAUAUUGCUUAAUUUUCAUUGACCAUCCUUAGCAUAUUGGGCAGAAGCAGAAUUUACACAUGCCCUGUAGGAAAGACAUGCUAAUCAAAGUCAAUCUCUUAAUUACCUAACUAGGUCUCCCUGAGCUUUUGUCUUGCCCAAGGCACCAUGCUAGACCAUAAGCAGAGAUAUAAAUGCUCUAAAACCGGCUCUUACCUUUUAAGAAUUUCUGAUUUAGGGGAAAGGAGACCAAAAAAGCAGGAAAAAGUAACUAGCAAUAAUAUGAUGCAUAAGGGAAUAUAAAAUGGGUGGUGCAUGUGUGGAAGCGAAAUCACUGUGGGCUGUGGUGAAGUCAGGUGGGAUUUGAAGUAAGCCUUGAAGGUUGCGGAGAGAAGAGGGAGAGGGCACUCAGGAAGGGGAAAGACAGGACAACAUGCAGAGGUCACGUCUCAGCACUGAAACCUAGUCUAGGCAGGGAUGUUAGCACAGGCCAAAGGAGAGUCAGAAACUGAGGAUGAGACAAGGUGUUGGUGUGCGGUGCUAUUAGCCUAUAGUUGGGGUGGUGGAAGCUGUCAGCUGCACAGAACAUAGUGAUCGUGGAGCCAAACAAAACCAGGAGAGUCAUGUAGAAUCCAAAGGAGGCUAUUAAAAAUGUUGUGAGGUAUGACCUUGCCAAGCAAGGAAAAGACAAGAUGAAUACAGAAUUCAUCAAUUCAAAUCAUGCAACAAAAAGCAAAAGUUUAGGAGUUCCUGUUGUGGCUCAGUGGGUUAAGAACCCAACAUAGUAUCCAUGAGGACGUAGGUUCGAUCCCUGGCCUCGCUCAGUGGGUUAAGGAUCCAGCAUUGCCACAAGCUGCGGUGUAGGUCACAGAUGAAGCUCAGGUCUGGCAUUGCUGUGGCUGUGGCAUAGGCUGGCAGCAGCAUCUCCGAUUUGACCCCUAGUCCUGGAACUUCUAUAUGCCGCAAGGGCAACCCUAAAAAAAAAGAAACAAAAGAAACAAAAGUUUAUAGUGUAAUUCAAUUAGGCGCAAAAGAUCUGAUGAACGGACAUUAUGACAGUAUAGUGAGUUGAGAGCCAAAUGGAAGGUCUUGUUAAUAGAAAAAAAAUAAAAGUAAAAUAUACUAAAGCUACAAAGUCCGUUUUAAACUGUUUAAGGGCAUUUAAUUAAUUUGUGAAGGCACACCUUAAAAGUGGUGAAUUUUGCUUGAUAAAUAACUAGAAAAUGAAGAGUUGUACUUUAAUAAACCAAAUAUUAAUCUUAAAAAUCAAAGCAUCUGCAAAUAGUUUUUUCCUGUGCAUAACUGCUGCUUUGGAGGAAAAAGAAACAAUGACAGCAUAGGACCUCGAGUCAGCCGUGGCACGUUCUAAGCAGCCAAAUGUCUUCUCUGACAAAGUGCUUUGCACCUGAUGAAACUAUAUUACCAUGAACAAAACUGGUACUGGCCUCUUUGGUUUUUUGGUUUUGUUUCUGUUUUUGUUUUUUGCUUUUUAGGGCCGCACCGGUGGCAUAUGAAGUUCCCAGGCUAGGGAGUCCAAUCAGAACUGCAGCUGUCGGCCUACAGCCACGGCAAUGCGGGAUCCUUAACCCACUGAGUGAGGCCAGGGAUGGAACUCACAUCCUCAUGGAUACUCGUCAGAUUCAUUUCAGCUGCACCACAACGGGAACUCCUGGUCUCUUUAUUAUAUAGGACAUUAGUUAUCAUUAACCUGGACCUUUUAAGUAGAAUUCAGUGUGUGCUGAGAUUGGGCCAAAAUUCAGGGGAGUGGUAUAAAACACAUUAGAACAGGAGAGCUUUUAAAAAAUAGUACUGAAUUGGGCCCCACUGCUGAGCAGUUGAAUCAGAAUCCCUGGGGUGGGGACCUGGCAUCAUCACUGUUUUGUUGGUUUUUUUUUCUAAAAGCUCCUGCCUGCCCCUCCCUGGAUUCUCUGCACCUCUGGAGCUGGGAACCACCAGGGUGGAUGGAAACCAUGUCCUGACCUGAAGCGGAAAGAGUAGUUUUAGAGUCCCAGCUCUGAAAGAGCUCACUGUACAUCCUCGGGGAAGUCAUUUGAACUGUCUUGUUAACUUCACUAAAUAAGAUUGGCCCCUAACUAGCUCCAACAUUCUGUGAUUCACUGAAGAGAAACCGCUUCCUUUAUUAGCUCAGUUACUGAUCUGUCCACAAGCACAACCCAAUGGCCCCCUUGAACUGGGUGAAUUUCACACAGGAAAGAAGGUGCUAGAUGUCACUCCAGAGACAGGCAGAGCUGGUCCAGAAAACAAAUGAGAAAAGAAACAAUAGCAACAACAAGAGCAGACUCACUUCCCUUGGCUUGCCUGCAUCCUUGUUUCUAAAGUGAAUUUAGACAGGCAAAGAAUAAUUAACUCUCAGGUGGAGGCUUAUAUCUUGUAUUAAUUUUCUAUUGUUGCUGUAAGAAAUUACCACAAAAUUAGCAGGUUAAACAACACAGAUGCACAGUUCCUGCCGAGGUUCAGUGGGUUAAGAAUCUGACUGUAGCGUGGUUUGGGUUGCUGCAGAAGUGCAGAUUCUGAUCCCCGGCUGGCAGUGGGUUAAAGGAUCCAGCAUUGCCUUAGCUGGGGCAGAGGUUGCAGCUGUGGCUUGCAUUUAGUCCCUGGUUCAGGAACUUCCAUAUGCUGUGCAUGUGGCCAUAAAAAAAUAAAAUAGUAAAAACAAACAAAAAAACCCCACAGAUGCAUUAUCUUACUGUUCUCUAGAUUAGAAGUCUGACACGGUGUUACAGGGCUAAAAUCCAGGUGUCCAUAGGCUGUAUUCCUUUCUAGAGGCUCUAGGAGAGGAAUUGUUUCCUUCCUCAUUUGGGUAGUUGGCAAACUUUAGUUCCUUGCUGCUAUAGGACUCUGAUCCCUGAAUCCUUGCUGGGUGUUAGCUGAGGGCUGUUCUAGAGACCACCCCCUUCCUCCCUCAUCAAAGCCAGUGAUGGUAGGUUGAGUGCAUCUCCCCCUUCCCAUCUCCCCUUCUUCUCCCCUCUUUUCUCUCUAACCCUCUAAGGAAAGUUUCUCUGUUUCUAAGGACUAAUGGGAUAAAAUUGAGCCCAUCCAGAUAAUCCAGGAUAAUCUCCCUCUUUUAAGGUCUGCAGAGUCUCUUUUGCCAUGUAAGAUGACACAUUCACAGGUUCCAAGGACUGGGAUGAGGACAUGGGGAGCAUGGGGGGAGUAGAGCAUUAUUCUGCCCACAUUUUGCUUCCAGGUGAAGAUUUUUUGAAAAGAUAAGAAAUAGGGGUGGGAAUUUGUGGUACAGGGUAAGUCUAAGGUUUAUUUUCAGAAUCACUGCACACUGAUCCUGGAGGGGAGGAAGAUAUUUAUCUGAUAUAAACUGUUUCCCAGAGUAGGUAGAGGGGAAUCCCAGACAUUGAGGGAAUGUUGGGUCUUAUCUUUCUUUUGUAGUUCAGGGAUAGAAAAUAGGAUGUCUAAUCCUAUUAGUGUAUAUUCUUUGAGAGCAGGCAUCAGGGGCUGAAAGCACCCUCUUUCUGUCCAGAGCCUUUCAUCCCUGUCAUGUGGAAUUCUCUGCUUUUCUAGGGGUCCUUUUAGAAAGCAGGUCUGUCCCUGUUGGUUAUACUUCAUUUGCUUCUGGCUCAGCUUCUUCAGCACUAACCACAUCAAGGAAUGGUAUUCCAGGCAUUGAAAAAAGUGAAUGAAAGAAGGCUCAAAAAAGAUGAAAAUAAUUUCUAUUUUUUUCAAAUCUUCCAUAUACUUAGGCUCUGAGCUCCAGGUUAGAUGGCUUUGAACCCUUAGUACUGGAAUGGCGAAGAUGUAUUUGUUCCGUAAGUAUUUCAGUAGGUGCCCACUCUAUACAAGACGUGACCAGCCCAAAGAUUUCUGAGAGGAAGAAGAAGCAGGGUGUUCUCAUCAAAACAGGCAUCGAGCCAGCUCUGUGUUCUUGUGACAGGGCUGGCCUUGUGGACUGGGAGUAUUUGCACCGCCCGCAAUUGUUUACCGACAGACAGGAAUCGGAGUCUCCUUGGAGUUACGUUCCUUACUCACAUAGUCAAUUCACUAUUCAGAAGAUUGUCUCCACUUUACAGCAGGAGGAAAAAAGAGACUGUCUUUUCAUUUUUUUCUUAGGUUUCUUAGGAACUUUUUUUUUUUUUUCUUCCCUGGCAUCUUGUGGCAGAGAAAGGAAACAGAUUUGUUUUGAAGAGGAUGGAAAUGUUGCAUUCCACUGCUUUCCAUUCUGGUGGUUGAUUCUGAUAAGCGGAAUUUGGGAAACAUGGCUGGGGAAAAAAAAAAAAAAAAGAUUUUUUCCUGAUCUUCCAUUAAAAUGUUGUGCAUGACUUUUUCUCCAAUUGAACAGUGUCUUUGGUUUGAAACAUUUCAGCUCUGGAUACUGCAGUGUACCAGAGUGGAAAGAGCGCAGACGAGAGAUAACAGGGCUGGAUCCAAACCCAGCCCUGCCACUCCUGCAUUAUAUCUUAUUUUGUGGGUCACUUAACCUCUCUAAGGUUUUGAUUUCCAUGGGGGGGGGGAAAUGAGAUAAUACCCCCCUGUAUCAGCUAGGGUUAUUAGUUUAUAACAGCAGAAACCAAGUAUGUAUUUAAUUGCACACAUAAGCAGAUAAGGAUUUAUUUAAAAGGUAUUAGGUAACUCACAGAAUCCAGAGAAAGGAAAAUGCAUAGAAACUGGGGAAGCCAGGUAGUUGCCAGGACUGCAGGGGAAAUAUGUUAUAAAGCUGGUUUUGUGGCGACAACAGUGUCCUGUAGCUAGAUAAUCAUGUUGUUGACACCAGACACUGCUUGUUGGCUGGUACCUCUGCCCUCUCUGCUUGUGGAAACUUGCGAUUGCUGCCCUCCUGCCCUGCCAUCAAUUCAGUGGAUUCUCUGCAGUCUCUAACGAGUGUCACUGAUUUCCAAUUCAAUGUUCAGGGCAAGAUGUGUCUGCUUGGAGAUCUUUGGUCGUCUACUAUUCUCUAGCAGUGAAGGAGCCUGGGAAAGCAAGUAUGUAGUAUUUCAGCUUCAAUAGUGAGAGGUAGGCUCUCCUCAUUCACCCCAACUCCAAAGACUGAAAAAUUUCUGAACAUACCAAGAAGAUCCAGAUGCCAAGUGGGCAAAAACUCUCAGGAAAAAAACCCCCAAAACAGGAGUUCUCUGGUGGCUCAGUAGGUUAAAGAUCCAGUAUUGUCACUGCUGUGGUGCUGGUUUGAUUCCUGGCCUGGGAAUUUCUGCAUGCCGUGGGUGUGGCCAACCCCCUGCCCCCCAUGCCCCCUGCAACACACCCACAACACUCUUCACUGGAGUCCAUCCCUUUGGUGGCCCAAAGGUGACCUAUACUUUUUCCUAUGGUUACACUUUCAAAAGAAAAAAAAUUUCUGCCAUUCAACCUAAUGCAACUAUAAUUUGUAUGAUUUAAAAUGCUUUCACAUCUUCCCCUGAGGGGCAAACAAAAAUCUCAUAUGUUCAUCUCCAGAUUCAAGAUCUCUAGAUGGUGUCCUUUCCUUCUUCAGGGCUGGCAUGAGCCCAUCUCAAUGUUCUGUAAUAUUUUAGACUGAUAGAGUUCCCUUCAUGGCUCAGCAGUUAAUGAAUCUGACUAGCAUCCAUGAGGAUACAGGUUCAAUCCCUGGCCUCACUCAGUAGGUUAAGGAUCUGGCGUUGCCAUGAGCUGUGGCAGAGGCUGGCAGCUACAGCUCCGAUUCAGUCCCUAGCCUGGAAACCUCCAUAUGCC